CCAACGCGUUGGGAGCUCUCCCAUAUGGUCGACCUGCAGGCGGCCGCGAAUUCACUAGUGAUUAGAGUUUGAUCCUGGCUCAGAACGAACGCUGGCGGCAUGCCUAAUACAUGCAAGUCGAACGAGACCUUCGGGUCUAGUGGCGCACGGGUGCGUAACGCGUGGGAAUCUGCCCUUGGGUUCGGAAUAACUUCGGGAAACUGAAGCUAAUACCGGAUGAUGACGAAAGUCCAAAGAUUUAUCGCCCAGGGAUGAGCCCGCGUAGGAUUAGCUAGUUGGUGGGGUAAAGGCUCACCAAGGCAACGAUCCUUAGCUGGUCUGAGAGGAUGAUCAGCCACACUGGGACUGAGACACGGCCCAGACUCCUACGGGAGGCAGCAGUAGGGAAUAUUGGACAAUGGGCGAAAGCCUGAUCCAGCAAUGCCGCGUGAGUGAUGAAGGCCUUAGGGUUGUAAAGCUCUUUUACCCGAGAUGAUAAUGACAGUAUCGGGAGAAUAAGCUCCGGCUAACUCCGUGCCAGCAGCCGCGGUAAUACGAAUCGAAUUCCCGCGGCCGCCAUGGCGGCCGGGAGCAUGCGACGUCGGGCCCAAU
rnacentral:rRNA from 1 species